CCUGACUCCGCCCCCCCGGGCGGCCCUGACAGAGCCUUCAUUCUGGGAAUUCACCGCCUCGACAUUAAAGAUAAUAGGAAUGCACACUGGCUUUUUCCAGUAACGCAGAUUUCCCUCGAUCCUGUUUGGAAAAACACUGUGCUCCGUGUGUUCUACCUUCAAACAGAUGGAUCUGCAAUGCAGAACUCGCCAUGGAAAUGAAAUCUCUGCUUCAGAUGUUGCAUGGAGACUUUCUAAGAAGACAGAAAUCGGCUUCUCAAAUGUCAGCAUUUCCAGGUUUAUUUUUCCUCCUGUUUUUAAGGGACGUCCCAGUAGUUAAUAGUUAAUGACAAAACAUUUCCGUUUUAAUUUAGACUUUGGACUAAAGUUGCGAGUUCUUGUGUAUAAACACAUUUUAGGGCCUUUUUUUUAUGGUGUUGACAUUUUCUCAUUUUAAAACGUUGAUUUUGCUGUUUUUCUAUUUACUUUUAUUUAGAUUUCAUUCAUGUUACAGCCUCCUGAGUCAGACUGAAGUCACUUAGCCUUAUAAUUUAAAGCUGUUUGGCAAAGCUCAGGUCAUAAAUGUGGAAAUACAAAGAAUAAUGUAAUUAAACCUUGAAGGUUUUAAGAGCUGCUGAUCAUUCAAAUGAAGAUAAAUCUAUCUUUGUGGUCUUCUAAUUCCGAGAUAAAUCCAUCCAGAUGAAUCAGGGCCUCGGGGCUUUGCAAAGGCUUGCUUGUGAGCAUACUGCUUGGGAUGGACCUCGUCGUACAGAAAUUCCUCCGUCAGCUCGUCUCCAUCGUCUAUCUCCAGCUGCAAACCAAGACCCCAAAAAGAAAGAUAAAUAAAUAAAUAAAACAUGGCUGGGAUGCAGGUGUACAAAAUUCAAAUCAACAGUCUGCUGGAGAAUCUAAUAAAAGCGUUUGCCCAUAAAUUGCUCUGACAUUUACUAGUCAGAUUGUGGUUGCACAAGUUUCACAUGGGCUGUUACCAGGAUUUUAGGAGUCCAAAUCAGCUUAGUUCUACCCCACAUUUUUCAGCUCUUUCAGGGUUUUUUUUCUGCCUUUGUUAACAGAUUUGUCACAGAUUCUGGAAGUCAUUAUGUCUUAAGCCUUUGCAUGCAGCCAGGAUAGAAACAUAUUAAAAAAAAACACUAGAUUUAGAAAAGAAGGAGAUAUAAAUGCAAAAACAAAAGCAAUCCAUCUGGAAUAUUCCUAAACUGUUUACCAUAUGUUAGAAAAAGUACACACAGCAUGACCCGAGUGUCCUCAGUGAUAAACUACUAUCAUAUAUAUAUAUAUUAAACUGUAUUAUCUAAUGUUCUUUUCCAUCCGCUUAUCCAUCUGUUACCUUUUUAGAUAUUUCCAGCUGGUAAUCCUUCUCCACUUCCUCCAGUAGCCGACUCUUGCAGCUGGAAUAAAGCAUCCGCUCCUUAAUGCUGCAGCUGUAUCCUGGCAUGGAGUAUAUGAACACUAGAGAGGAGGGAGCAUUAUUAUUGGAAUUAGGAAAACACAUUUAGAAACAAACUCAUUUGCAGAUGACGGAAGAAUAAUAAAAAAAUAAAAAAAA